AGAUCCAAUCCCAGAAUUCCUGCUCACCUGUAAUCGGAAGUCUACUGGACGAAUGCGGGAACGUUGCGAUAUUUCCUGCUUAAUAUUUUCAGCAUACAUCUCCAGCUGGUUGCAAGGACUUCUGUGGCAAGUUUGUUUUAUUACUUCCAUGCUCUAUGUCUUUGUUGAACUAUCCAAAAUUUGAUUUUGGGCUGUUUAGAAUGUAUUGUUCACAAAUCUGUCUUGUGCAAGUUUCUCUCUGUCUGUGUUUUAGGUUGAAGAUGGCCCAGAGAGGUUAGCCUUACAGUUGCUGAUCUAGAAGCAUUAGGCAAGAGUGUCUGAGAACGAUGAGAGAACUCCCAUUAAUGGGAAUCAAAAGGAAACCCUGAAAUCAUGUUUUAAGGAUGGAAUGACAUGAGUUGUUUCAGAAUUAAUACCAAGAGCUGCAUCAGCUACUGGGUUGGACACCGGUGUCGUAGAAAUAAGAACUGGAUAGGUAAUUACAAAAGAUCACAAAUGACUAAUGCUUCGUCUGAGCCCCGGUCAUCAAAGGCCAAAGUUCACAUUAGAGAGCUGUCGGAUUACAAUCUUUUUUAUAGGGACAUAUUCAAAAACAAAGGCACAAUGAAUGAUAUUAAGGGCAGGUGCGCCACAUUGGGGGAAGAUGCAAAGCAGAAAUACAUUCAAGAGGCAGCAGCACUGAGGGCACAUGGGCAGUCACAGGACACUAAACCCUGAGGUG